rnacentral:rRNA from 1 species
AAUCAACGCUGGCGGCGUGCCUCAGACAUGCAAGUCGAACGCGAAAGUCCCCUUCGGGGGGCAAGUAGAGUGGCGCACGGGUGAGUAACACGUAGGUAAUCUACCUUCGGAUGGGGAAUAACAACCGGAAACGGUUGCUAAUACCGCAUAAUGCAGCGGCACCUAAUGGUGACAGUUGUUAAAGCGGGGGAUCGAAAGACCUCGCGUCUGAAGAGGAGCCUGCGGCGGAUAGCUAGUUGGUAAGGUAAUGGCUUACCAAGGCUACGAUCCGUAACCGGCCUGAGAGGGCGGUCGGUCACACUGACACUGACAUACGGGUCAGACUCCUACGGGAGGCAGCAGUCGGGAAUUUUGGGCAA